AGCCAAGGGCGAGAAAUCAGAGGAAGACAAAGAGUCCGGGUCAGUCAGAAAAGAGGAGACCACUCAAUUCACCGACUGGUGACGGAGCCUUCACCAUUUGAUCGGAUCGGUCUUAGACUAUUGGAUUGGAGUU